GACGAACGCUGGCGGCGUGCUUAACACAUGCAAGUCGAACGGAAAGGCCCUUCGGGGUACUCGAGUGGCGAACGGGUGAGUAACACGUGGGUGAUCUGCCCUGCACUUUGGGAUAAGCCUGGGAAACUGGGUCUAAUACCGGAUAGGACCACGCGCUUCAUGGUGUGUGGUGGAAAGCUUUUGCGGUGUGGGAUGGGCCCGCGGCCUAUCAGCUUGUUGGUGGGGUAAUGGCCUACUAAGGCGACGACGGGUAGCCGGCCUGAGAGGGUGACCGGCCACACUGGGACUGAGAUACGGCCCAGACUCCUACGGGAGGCAGCAGUGGGGAAUAUUGCACAAUGGGCGCAAGCCUGAUGCAGCGACGCCGCGUGAGGGAUGACGGCCUUCGGGUUGUAAACCUCUUUCAAUAGGGACGAAGCGCAAGUGACGGUACCUAUAGAAGAAGGACCGGCCAACUACGUGC
rnacentral:rRNA from 1 species